AACUAACGCUGGCGGCGUGCCUAACACAUGCAAGUCGUACGAGAAAGUUGGCUUCGGCCGAUGAGUAAAGUGGCGCACGGGUGAGUAAUGCGUGGAUAAUCUGCCCUUUAGUUGGGAAUAACGUACCGAAAGGUGCGCUAAUACCUGAUAAUACUGCAUAACUACUGUUGUGUAGUCAAAGAAGGCCUCUGUUUACAAGCUUUUGCUGAAGGAUGAGUCCGCGUACCAUUAGCUGGUUGGUGGGGUAAUGGCCUACCAAGGCUACGAUGGUUAGCUGGUCUGAGAGGAUGAUCAGCCACACUGGAACUGAGACACGGUCCAGACUCCUACGGGAGGCAGCAGUGAGGAAUAUUGCGCAAUGGGGGCAACCCUGACGCAGCAACGCCGCGUGAGUGAGGAAGGUUUUCGGACCGUAAAGCUCCGUCGAGCGGGAAGAAAUGUAUCAUGGCUAAUAUCCAUGAUACUUGACGGUACCGCUAAAGGAGCACCGG
rnacentral:rRNA from 1 species